rnacentral:rRNA from 1 species
GAUGAACGCUGGCGGCGUGCUUAACACAUGCAAGUCGAACGGAAAGGCCCAAGCUUGCUUGGGUACUCGAGUGGCGAACGGGUGAGUAACACGUGGGUGAUCUGCCCUGCACUUCGGGAUAAGCCUGGGAAACUGGGUCUAAUACCGGAUAGGACGAUGGUUUGGAUGCCAUUGUGGAAAGUUUUUUCGGUGUGGGAUGAGCUCGCGGCCUAUCAGCUUGUUGGUGGGGUAAUGGCCUACCAAGGCGUCGACGGGUAGCCGGCCUGAGAGGGUGUACGGCCACAUUGGGACUGAGAUACGGCCCAGACUCCUACGGGAGGCAGCAGUGGGGAAGAUUGCACAAUGGGCGCAAGCCUGAUGCAGCGACGCCGCGUGGGGGAUGACGGCCUUCGGGUUGUAAACUCCUUUCGCUAGGGACGAAGCGUUUUUGUGACGGUACCUGGAGAAGAAGCACCGGCUAACUACGU